UACGUAGGGAGCGAGCGUUGUCCGGAUUUAUUGGGCGUAAAGCGCGCGUAGGCGGUUUCGUAAGUCGGUUGUGAAAACUCCAAGCUCAACUUGGAGCCUGCAUCCGAAACUGCGAUGACUCGAGUCAGGUAGGGGAACACGGAAUUCCAGGUGUAGCGGUGAAAUGCUUAGAUAUCUGGAGGAACACCAGUGGCGAAGGCGGUGUUCUGGGCCUGUACUGACGCUGAUGCGCGAAAGCGUGGGGAGCGAACAGG
rnacentral:rRNA from 1 species